rnacentral:pre_miRNA from 1 species
AAUCUACUCUCUCCAUUCGGAAUUACUUGUCGUAGAAAUGAAUGUAUUUAAAUGUAUUUUAGUUCUAGAUACAUCCAUUUCUGAGACAAGUAAUUCCGAACGGAGGGAGUACGAC